CCCUUAGAUGUUCUGGGCCGCACGCGCGCUACACUGAUGCAUUCAACGAGCCUAUCCUUGACCGACAGGUCCGGGUAAUCUUUGAAUCUGCAUCGUGACGGGGAUAGAUUAUUGCAAUUAUUAAUCUUCAACGAGGAAUGCUUAGUAGGCGCAAGUCAUCAGCUUGCGUCGAUUACGUCCCUGCCCUUUGUACACACCGCCCGUCGCUCCUACCGAUUGGGUGUGCUGGUGAAAUGUUCGGAUCGGCCGUUUGUCGCGGUUUCCGCGUCAUGUGGCUGAGAAGUUCAUUAAACCCUCCCACCUAGAGGAAGGAGAAGUCGUAACA
rnacentral:rRNA from 1 species